rnacentral:rRNA from 1 species
CCUACGGGUGGCAGCAGUGGGGAAUAUUGCGCAAUGGGCGAAAGCCUGACGCAGCGACGCCGCGUGAGGGAUGAAGGUCUUCGGAUCGUAAACCUCUGUCAGCAGGGAAGAACGGUCACUGUGCUAAUCAGCAGUGAAUUGACGGUACCUGCAAAGGAAGCACCGGCUAACUCCGUGCCAGCAGCCGCGGUAAUACGGAGGGUGCGAGCGUUAAUCGGAAGUACUGGGCGUAAAGCGCUCGUAGUAGGUAUGUCAAGUCAAGUGUGAAAUCCCCGGGCGCAACUGGGGAACUGCCUUUGAAACUGGCAAACUGGAGUGUGUGAGAGGAUAGUGGAAUGCCAGGUGUAGGAGUGAAAGCCGUAGAUAUCUGGAGGAACAUCAGUGGCGAAGGCGACUAUCUGGCACAUAACUGACGCUGAGGAGCGAAAGCGUGGGUAGCAAACAGGAUUAGAUACCCUGGUAGUC